AUAUAUAUAUAUAUAUAUAAUUAAGUAAGUGGAUAAUUAAGUCUUGCUUGCCGGUAUGAAAGUGAUCAAGGGAUUGAGAACGCCAGGAGUAGAAGUGAAUGUUGCUGAUGAUGUUAUUAGAGUAAGUAAUUACUCCAAGGUAGAGAGUUGGUACGCGAUUGUGCUUCUACUGUCAUCGCUUGUUGAUGCGCCUGGGAGAUAGUUUGCGGUUGAAACAAGUUUAAAGUGAACUGAAUUUUCGAUAGUUUGCAGUCGAAACAAGUUUAAAGUGAACUGAAUUUGCUGACGCAAACCUCCCACAGGAUCAGUUGUUGUUCCGUAUCACGAGUUUCGGAGCGUAGUAAAGCUCUGAUACCAGAUCCAUGAAAGUAAUUACUCCAA
rnacentral:lncRNA from 1 species